rnacentral:rRNA from 1 species
UACGUAGGGGCAAGCGUUGUCCGGAAUCAUUGGGCGUAAAGAGGCGUGUAGGCGGCCUGGUAAGUCCGCUGUGAAAGUCCAGGGCUCAACCCUGGAAUGCCGGUGGAAACUGUCAGGCUCGAGUCCGGAAGAGGCGAGUGGAAUUCCUGGUGUAGCGGUGAAAUGCGCAGAUAUCAGGAGGAACACCAAUGGCGAAGGCAGCUCGCUGGGACGGUACUGACGCGUGAGACGCGAAAGCAUGGGGAGCGAACAGG